rnacentral:rRNA from 1 species
CCCUUAGAUGUUCUGGGCUGCACGCGCGCUACACUGAUGCGCUCAACGAGUUUAUGACCUUGCCCGGAAGGGUUGGGUAAUCUUCUUAAAACGCAUCGUGAUGGGGAUAGAUUAUUGCAAUUAUUAAUCUUCAACGAGGAAUUCCUAGUAAGCGCGAGUCAUCAGCUCGUGCUGAUUACGUCCCUGCCCUUUGUACACACCGCCCGUCGCUCCUACCGAUUGGGUGUGCUGGUGAAAUGUUCGGAUCGGCCGUUUGUCGCGGUUUCCGCGGCUCGUGGCUGAGAAGUUCAUUAAACCCUCCCACCUAGAGGAAGGAGAAGUCGUAACA